UAUGGCCAUAACAUGUUGAAACAUUGGUUCCCAUAUGAUCACUGAAGUUAAACAAUGUCAAGUGUAGUCAGCACCUGGAUAGGUGAUUGCUUGGGAAUACCAGGUGCUGUAAG